rnacentral:rRNA from 1 species
GUCCUUUUGUUAAAAAUUUAAGGUCUCACCUGCCCAAUGAGUUUUAAAUGGCCGCGGUAUUUUGACCGUGCUAAGGUAGCAUAAUCAUUAGUUUUUUAAUUGAAAGCUGGAAUGAAGGGUUGGAUGAAAAAAUAACUGUCUUAAAUUUAAUUAUUUUGAAUUUUAUUAUUAAGUUAAAAAGCUUAAAUAUUUUUAAAAGACGAGAAGACCCUAUAGAGUUUUAUAAUAUAAAUUUAUUAAUAUUUAGGAUUUAUUUUUUUUUAUAUUUAUUAUUAUUUAAUUGGGGUGAUUAAAAAAUUUAAUUAACUUUUUUUUUAUUAGAAUAUUUAUAAAUAAAUUUAUGAUCCUAUUUUUAGAUUAUAAGAAUAAGUUACCUUAGGGAUAACAGCGUAAUUUUAUUUAAGAGUUCAAAUCGAAAAUAGGGAUUGCGA